AGUUAGGAAAUGCAGGUGCGUUAAUAGCGCACUUGCUUGACUAAGGCUCCUGAGGAAGCCACGGCUAACUCUGUGCCAGCAGCCGCGGUAAUACAGAGGCGGCAAGCGUUGUUCGGAAUUAUUGGGCGUAAAGAGCACCUAGGCGGCCUUGCAAGUCAGUUGUGAAAGCCUUCCGCUUAACGGAAGAACGGCAUCUGAUACUACAGGGCUUGAGUACGGGAGGGGAGAGUGGAACUUCUGGU
rnacentral:rRNA from 1 species